UACGGAGGAUCCGAGCGUUAUCCGGAUUUAUUGGGUUUAAAGGGUGCGCAGGCGGGAUGUUAAGUCGGCGGUGAAAUUUUGCAGCUCAACUGUAAAAGUGCCUUCGAUACUGGCUUCCUUGAGUGUGGAUGAAGUAGGCGGAAUUUGUGGUGUAGCGGUGAAAUGCUUAGAUAUCACGAGGAACUCCGAUUGCGCAGGCAGCUUACUAAACCACUACUGACGCUCAUGCACGAAGGCGUGGGGAUCAAACAGGAUUAGAUACCCCGGUA
rnacentral:rRNA from 1 species